AUCUGUCUAUCCAUCUAUCCCCGAGCACCUGCAUCCUUCUCAGCAAAGCCAGAACCCUGUCCUCACAGAGCUCCCAAGCUGCUGUCAAAAGGUGAACAGAGGCUUGAUGCAGCCAGGAAAACAUCCAUGAGUGCAUGUCAGGGAAAGGCUCAGCACAGCCACCUGCUCCCUCAUCAUGGCCCUCCCUGCUCCAGGCAGGGUGUUCCAUCCAGAAGAGGAGCCUGCACGAAGGCAAGCUGUUCAGGGCGAAGAGCAGUCCACAUGGCUGAAGCACAAGUUGGAAAACAACAAUUGUCUAUGACCUGGUGAGCAAAGUCUCCAAGGACAGGCUUCACAGGGAGGCUCUGUGAGGGCGCAGAGACCCCAGGGAAGAGCUGACCAAGCAAGAACAGCAAGAACCGAGAGCAGCGGCUGCUUUUUCAAGUGGCUGGGUCGAUUGAGGCCAUCGUGCACAUUCAGGCUGGGCUUGCUGAGACACCCUCCCACUCACGACCCUACACGUUUCAGGAGGUGACCCAGGGGAGCCGCAGCGCUAUCACACAGCUUCUACAAGCCGAUUCAACCUCUAGUAAAAUUUUGGUGGGUAAACCACAGGAGGCUGGUGGGCAGGCAGGCGUCGGCUCAGAGAUGCUUGGCUGUAAAUAGAGGUCAUUUUUUCCCCUGCAGGUAUUAAUGAAGUAUGCACUUAGAGGAACAACAAUGGGUAAUUUAACACCACAUUUACAUGAAGAAACUGGCUACAGUAGUCUGUUUGCCCUCAUCUUUCUUCACCUUCGGUUUAAAAGUACACAUUUUAUGUGACAUUUGUGUCCCCCAAGUCUAAUGCUAGUCUCGACAGCUGUGUUGCCCCGUUUGAGACAUUUACCCCUCCUGAUUCCCAGUUCUUUCAUCCAUAAAACAGGGACAAUCAUUCUUGCUUUGCCUUGCCCACCAGUGUUAUGGUAAAAGCCAGAUUAAGUAACAAGUUGGAUAGAGCUGUGCAAACUAUAAAGCACCUCACAAUGGAAGGCUCGCCCUGACUAAGGAUAGGUGAGACAGCUCCCCAGCCUGUGGGAAGUGUGAAUACACUUCUCCCUGUGGAUGCAGACUCUCUGAAGAGGUUUCUCCUGAGAUCCCACGACAGUUCAGUGACCCCACAAUCACCCAGGUGGGGCAAGGCCCUGGCCCAAGAUGCUGUCUAGAAUGUGCCCAGGGAUGACAAAUGGAGGUGGCCAGCAGGGUGACCUGGUGGACCACUCUACGGAGCCCAGCUUCAAGGACAUGCGGUCUGUGGGAAGAGGGCAGCAGCAUGCCUGGGGCGGCAGAGGCUGGCAGGGAGCUCUCCUCCUCACCGGCAGAGCAAAGGCAGCUUCUGCUUUGCUGCCAAGACUACAACAGUUAGCCUGGAUGGGGCAGUAAUGAUGGCCUUGCCACCCAGCAAAACUCCAAGGGUAACAGCACCCUGACCUUCCCCCAGGAACUGCUCCAUUCCUGCUCUCAUCCCAGGGGCAAUAAGAGUUGGCAUGCAGCCAAGGUUAUUGGUUCGGGGAUAGGCAUAAGCUCCAACCCACACCAACCGGGUCCGAAGAGAGCAAGUCUGGGAGCUUUCCCUGGGGUAACUAGGUAAGAAGUUCUUUUGUUGGCUGGAUUCAGCCCUGAGAGACCACAAGCCUAGAGUUGCCAGGGGGACAUAGAGAUGAAGAGCUAACACCCACCAAGGGAAGCCAAGCCAAAAAAUGAAGAGAAAGUGUGCCAGUCAGCCAGCCAGCCAGCGAAACUCAGAAGCAGGCACCUGGCCCUGAGGCCACUGUAUGCAUCCCUGGAUCAAGUUGAGCCUGAAGUCAAAAAUUCCCUUCUCUCCCCUCCCCUCCCCAUUUGGGCUUUUCAGUUAUAAAAGCCACCAAAUUAAGCUAGUUUGGGUUCAGUUUUUGUCACCUGCAAAUGAAGGAGUCCCACCUAAAUAUUAAUACAAUGGGCUGUAGGAUCACUCCAUGUCUCUAAAAUGUUGAGGUAUCUGAGAGAGAGAAUCUUCAGUAGCUCCUCAUUUCUCAAGAGACAACAUCUUUGAUGACUCCCUCUGACCCACAGGUUCAGCGGUGGUUCCCUAUACACAGGGCCUCCGAGCCCUAUAAGUCACUGCCUCUGGGAAUUCAUCUAGGCUCAGCUUUCCAAAUUCCCUCCUUCAAUCUUUUCCGUUCUCUGUUGCCAUCUUCAAUUUCAACUGGUUUCCUGUGCUGUGCACACUCUUGUAAACUUGACGCUUCAGACUUGCCUUCCUUCCCAUCCCGUGCAUCCCAGGGACAUGGACUCUGAGCUCCCUUGGCAGAGGGUACAUUCUAUGCUUGGCAGCCUCCCACUUCCGCACCCAGCUUCACCUCUAAGGCACUGCCCACUUCCAUCCCAUCUCGCCUGGCAGUUCAGGGACCCUAUUUCAGCUCAAUUCAACACCACUCACUGGUUAUCUGCUCCAUACCAGGCAUGAUCCUGAGCACUGGGGAUUCAAAGAUGGCUACAACACUGUUCAUAUCCUCAAGGAGGAUGGCAGAUAAUAUAUAAACAUUUCAGGACAGCAGACAAGAAUCCAAGCUCAAGCAGAGUACUAGGAGUCUCCUUUGGGGCGGAGAGGAUGGAGCAGCUAAUCGUGUCCGGAGCAUCUGGGAAGGCUUCUUGAGAAGCACAGGACUGCAUCACAUCUAAAUUCCUCCAUCUGGCAUCCCCGAGGACCUCUGCAAUCUGUCUACACUCAACCUACCAACAACCAACUGACGUCUGUCAUGGGUCCAGCGAGGACAGUGCCCCUGCCCCUCCUGAUGCCCCUUCCUCCUCCACGUGCCUCCAGUCCCUCAGCUCCCACAGCCUCCCACAUAUCUGCAUACUCACUGGAAGGUACGGUCUUCACGUCUGCUCUUUUCCAAGACUGAAAGCACUCCUGUUUGUCUAAAUCCUGCUUCACCCUUUAAGGGAAGACUAAGGAGUUUCAUUUCCUCUGAGCAUCAUUUUUCCCCUUUUGAAAGCCUAAUGUACUUAGGAUGAACCAAUGACCACCACAUGCCUGCUGCUUCUAACCCCCAUCCCCCGGCCAUAACAGACAUUCCCACUGGUCAUCAGACGGCACUCUUUCUCCUGGCACCCUGAGGCAGUGUCACAUGUUUUGCCAUUCAGGCAGCACCCACUGGGUAGAGUUGGCAUCCAAGUUGAAACUGUUUGCCAUCCAGAGCUAAAAAUUAUAUCACAUGUUUUGACAUGUCAUCAUGAAGGUAAAUCAUAUCAACAAACAAUUGAGCACCAACCAAGUACAAGAGCAGAGAAGGGUUGGGAAGGUGAACCUAUUGAUACACUGUCUCGUAUCAUUUGCAGCUUGUCAGUGCCUUGAGGACAAAAACCAUAUUCCAUCUACCUCUGCAGAAUCCCCUCACAGUACCAAAGCAGAGAGCUGGGUACUUCACCUCACUAGAUUCCAAGAUCCCAUCUCUACACAAAAGGAGAAACAGAACCAUUAUCUCGGGCUACAUUUCUCAGCACCUGGGCCAGCAAUCUUGUCUUAGUUGUCACCCAGGCCAGAAUCCCAUUUACCCCAUCCUAGUUGGCACUGCAGAGUUAUGCUUUAUUUCUAAACCAUGUCAGGCCUUUGCAUCCCAUCCCAAUGGCUCAGGUAAAAUUGGAUGGCAAUGGGAAUGUGCCCUACAUGGGCUGAUCAAAGUCAUACACUGUCUCCCUGGGAAUCUAUGGAGUUCAGGUCAACCCUCCAAUAUGUCUACUUCCUUUGCCAAAAAGUAAGAAAUGGUGGCUGGGCACAGUGGCUCACGGCUGUAAACCCAGCACUUUGGGAGGCCGAAGCAGGUGGAUCACCUGAGAUCAUGAGUUCAAGACCAGCCUGGCCAAACACGGUGAAACCUAUCUCUACUAAAAAUACAAAAAUUAGCUGAGUAUGGUGGCACGAGUCUGUAAUCCCAGCUACUUGGGAGGCUGAGGCAUGAGAAUUGUUUGAACCCGGGAGGCAGAGGUUGCAGUGAGCCGAGAUAGCACUGCUGCACUCCAACCUGGGUGAGAGCGAGACUCUGUGUCAAAAAAAAAAAAAAAAAAAAAAGUAAGAAAUGAGUGAACAUUUCAAAAUGGCAGGAACUGGUUAAGUUUAAAACUGAACACUUUCAUUUUGACAAGAAAGCAGUCAUUCUUUUUCUCCAUUAACAGAGAUAAAGAAAAGCUUUUCAAAUCUGUAUAUGGCUACGUUGAUUGACGUCUGAGUUAAAAAUGAAAUCUCAGCCGGGCGCGGUGGCUCACACCUGUAAUCCCAGCACUUUGGGAGGCUGAGGUGGGUGGAUCAUGAGGUCAGGAGAUGGAGGCCAUCCUAGCUAACAUGGUGAAACCCCAUCUCUACUAAAAAUACAAAAAAUUAGCUGGGCAUGGUGGCAUGCACCUGUAGUCCCAUCUACUCAGGAGGCUGACACAGGAGAAUCACUUGAACCCAGGAGGCGGAAGUUGCAGUGAGCCGAGAUUGUGCCACUGCACUGUAGCCUGGUUGACAGAGCGAGACUCCAUCUCCAAAAAAA